rnacentral:piRNA from 1 species
UUGAUUGUCAAUUGCCAUGAUACUUGGCUAUC